UUCACACUCGUGGCGGAAAAGCUCAGUAACACGUGGAAAACGGCCCUACAGAGAACGAUAACCUCGGGAAACUGAGGCUAAAAGUUCAUACGGGAGUCAUGCUUGAAUGCCGACUCCCCGAAACGCUCCGGCGCUGUAGGAUGUGGCUGCGGCCGAUUAGGUAGACGGUGGGGUAACGGCCCACCGUGCCAAUAAUCGGUACGGGUUGUGAGAGCAAGAACCCGGAGACGGAAUCUGAGACAAGAUUCCGGGCCCUACGGGGCGCAGCAGGCGCGAAACCUUUACACUGCACGCAAGUGCGAUAAGGGGACCCCAAGUGCGAGGGCAUAUAGUCCUCGCUUUUCUCGACUGUAAGGCGGUCGAGGAAUAAGAGCUGGGCAAGACCGGUGCCAGCCGCCGCGGUAAUACCGGCAGCUCAAGUGAUGACCGAUAUUAUUGGG
rnacentral:rRNA from 1 species